rnacentral:rRNA from 1 species
UCGGGAAUUUUGGGCAAUGGGCGAAAGCCUGACCCAGCAACGCCGCGUGAGGGAUGAAGUAUUUCGGUAUGUAAACCUCGAAAGAAUGGGAAGAAUAAAUGACGGUACCAUUUAUAAGCUCCGGCUAACUACGUGCCAGCAGCCGCGGUAAUACGUAGGGAGCAAGCGUUGUUCGGAUUUACUGGGCGUAAAGGGCGCGUAGGCGGCGCGGUAAGUCACUUGUGAAAUCUCUGAGCUUAACUCAGAACGGCCAAGUGAUACUGCUGUGCUAGAGUGCGGAAGAGGCUACCGGAAUUCUUGGUGUAGCGGUGAAAUGCGUAGAUAUCAAGAGGAACACCUGAGGCGAAGGCGGGUUGCUGGGCCGACACUGACGCUGAUGCGCGAAAGCCAGGGGAGCAAACA